UGGGGAAUUUUGGACAAUGGGCGAAAGCCUGAUCCAGCAAUGCCGCGUGUGUGAAGAAGGCCUUCGGGUUGUAAAGCACUUUUGUCCGGAAAGAAAUCCUUGUCUCUAAUACAGUCGGGGGAUGACGGUACCGGAAGAAUAAGCACCGGCUAACUACGUGCCAGCAGCCGCGGUAAUACGUAGGGUGCAAGCGUUAAUCGGAAUUACUGGGCGUAAAGCGUGCGCAGGCGGUUUGCUAAGACCGAUGUGAAAUCCCCGGGCUCAACCUGGGAACUGCAUUGGUGACUGGCAGGCUAGAGUAUGGCAGAGGGGGGUAGAAUUCCACGUGUAGCAGUGAAAUGCGUAGAGAUGUGGAGGAAUACCGAUGGCGAAGGCAGCCCCCUGGGCCAAUACUGACGCUCAUGCACGAAAGCGUGGGGAGCAAACAGGAUUAGAUACCCUGGUAGUCCACGCCCUAAACGAUGUCAACUAGUUGUUGGGGAUUCAUUUCCUUAGUAACGUAGCUAACGCGUGAAGUUGACCGCCUGGGGAGUACGGUCGCAAGAUUAAAACUCAAAUGAAUUGACGGGGUCAUAGCUGUUUCCU
rnacentral:rRNA from 1 species